rnacentral:lncRNA from 1 species
UUGCUGAUAGGGUAUAGGUACUACCGCGGCGACUUGGCCAUAUAAAGCUUGUUGCUUCCCCUUGUAGCCUCUGGAUAUAGCGUUCGUAUCACCUUCUCUUUUCUUAUGGAAACCUCCAGAGUACUUUUUCGGUGCGCUAGGGGCUGCCAUAGCUCCUUGAAUCUUUCCAUCCCUUAACCCUUUUUCUAUACGAUCUCCGAUUGUCACCAGAUGUGCAAAGUCGG